rnacentral:lncRNA from 1 species
UAUGGUUUGGCUGUGUCCCCACCCAAAUUCCAUCUUGAAUUGUAGUUCCCAUAAUCCCCACUUGUCAUGGGAGGGACUUGGUGGGAGGUAAUUGAAUCAUGGGGGUGGUUUCCUCUAUGCUGUUAUUGUAAUAGUGAGUGAGUUCUCACAAGAUCUGAUGGUUUUAUAAGAGGCGUUCCCCUUCUGCUUGGCAUUCUCUCUCCUGCCGCCCUAUAAAGAAGGGCAUGUUUGUUUCCCCUUCUGCCAUGAUUGUAAGUUUCCUGAGGCUUCUAGCCCUGCAGACCUGCACAUCAAUCAAACUUCUUUCCUUUAUAAAUUACUCAGCCUUGGGUAUUUCUUCAUAGCAUCAUGGGAACAGACUAAUACAACCUCUCACUCAUGCCUCUGCUGAGGAAAGUUUUGUCUGAUUAAUGGAUGAGGGGAACAAGUUAGUCAACCUCUGUGACUCAUUACCUGGACCAUGGAUCAUGCUUUUUUCUCUGUUCCUGCUGCACUGUGACAAGAUAAUACUGCGAUGAAUAUUUUGUGACGUAUUUCCAUAUCCACAUAUAUGACAGCUUCUCUAGGUUGUGUGUCUCAGAAGAGAAAUAAUGUAUCAUAGAUUUUGGAAGAAGCACGAAAAUGAUUUACUGAUUUAGGAACUGGGUGGAGUAGACCACAAAAAGACAAAUCAAAAACAUCUGGAAUGAACUAGUUGAGAGAGAAAAAGAGAGAGCAAGAAAAAAAGCAGGAGCCGGCAAGAGGGAGCCUCAGCCAACACUACAUCAGAGGCACAUUGUGGAUGGAGGAAAUGAGUUUAGUCAAGCCAGCUGUGACUUCAAAGGGGCUGCUCUCCCAGAGAACAGUGAGAAAGGGUUCCCCCUUCAGUGAAGACUGCAAAGUUCAGCCAGCGCCAACCCAAAGGGAAUGGACUCCAGGAAGGGGCAAAUUACAUUCAACAUACAAGAAAGAAUAUUUUCCUUCAUGAAGUGGCUGUGACAGUCUGAAGAGGAAGGAAAAUGACAAAAAAGAAAGGUGAGAAGAAAAUAUUCUGAUGCCCCUUUGGGGACUGUAGUCCUGUGUGCAUACUUAUAAAAUGGGGUAUUUGUAUACACAUUUGUACUUGCAUAAGGUUGCUUUUAAUCUAAGACACCUCCAAGCAUGAAUCAUGUUUCCAAACAUGUGGGAGGAGAGAACAUAGGAUUCUUCCCUGCUGACUGCCAUAGUUUCUUUCCCUCUUUGUGCUUCUAGAAAACUACACAUUUCUUUCAAAUUACUUACUUCACACAAAUUUACUGAGGAACAAUAGGGUGGACCCUGCAUAUUCGAAGACAAGAUCGUCUGUGUUCCAGUUCAAAAGAAGAAGCUAGACACAUAAACUGAAGAUUAUGGUAUUGAGUGAUAAGCCUUGGAGCAGGAAUCCCAAAGUGUGAUCACAUGACCAGCAGCAGCAACAUCACCUGGGAACUUGUUAGAAAUGCAAAUUUGCAGGCCCUAAUCCAAAUCUACUGAAUAAGAAAGUUGAGGUUGAUUUAACAAGCCCUUCAAGUGAUUCAAUGCUUGCUAAAACUGGAGAACCACCUUGAUAGUGAAGGGACAAAAGGACUUUUGUGCAGAGAGCUAACACAUCUGAACUAACCUUGAGAUCCUCUGCCAUCUAUAAAUCACUUCUCAAUCUCUUCCCGAUAAGAUUCUAAAUAGGUGGCUCUCUGGCAAUUCAAGGGAUGAUACACGCGUGUGUGUCUUCUCUCUUUAUGUAAGUUAUAAGAUCUGAAUGACAGAGGCACAUUCUUCUUUUAUGUUUUCUUUCCUUUCUCCUCCUAUUUUUAGGGCCAGUACGUGGAAAAUGCGGAAAUUGGAACUUACUAUAAGUAACUAAUUCAGAAAUCAGGCUGGCAGAAGUGUUAUACAUUCACUGGAAGAAAUUGGUGAAUAUAUGGAAAACAUAAAUGUUAUGUAUCCUGGAACUUAAAAUAAAAAUUAAUAAUAAAAAAUGUUAUCUCUCCCAAGCACUCAUUUGAUGCUUGAAUCCUCUCUAUGACAUCCUUACCAAGGAUUUGUUCUUCUUAUGCUUGGGUACUUCAACUGAUGAGAAUCUCACUAGCUCAGGAUGCAGUUUGCUUUCUUUUAGAUAGCUCUGUUAGAGCUGCCUUCUUCCAGGGCUGAACACUUCCAUAAUUUAAAUUCCAUUUAUUAGUUUUAGUCCUGCCCCUUGGGAACUCGUAGCAAAGAUACUUACAUAUUAAUGUGACAUUUUUCAGGUACUUGAGGUUAGUAAUUAUGUAGCAUAUGACAUAGAUUAAACUCAUAGACUCUGGAAACAAACUACUUGCCUUCCCUUCAAAUUCUUAUUCUGCCACUUACUUACUAUGUGACCUCCAGAGAGUUAUUUACUAUCUCUGUAACUUUAUUUCUUUAUCUAUAUAAAAAGAUAUAAUAAUAGCAGUACAUCAAAGGGCUUUUAUAAGGAGUCCAUGAAUUAAUAUAUGUAGAUGUGCCUGGAACACGGUAAGUGCUCUAAAAGUUUUCACUAUUACUAAUCAUCAUCAUUAUUAUACAGAUCUUGUCAGAUAUCGGACCUAGGCCAUCUUUCUAAGUCUUUACUCAUUCAUUAAGUGAGCUCAUUCACUCCCAUGGCUUCAAUCACCAUCUAUAUGAUUAUGAAAAAUCUAUUUUCCUCCUGAGCCAAGAGCUAAAUGUAAGUGACCAGUUAUGGAUACAGGAAUUGCUCUGGCCACCAUAAUUUGGGUGGAAAUGGUGCAUACCACUUCCAGUUCUUGCCCCUUAAAAUACCAUGAGAAAUCUUGCACUCCUUUCUCCUAGUUCAUCAGCUAACUGAAUGCAGAGAAACCAGUGGAGGACUCCAAGGAAAUUCCAAAGAGUGGUUGAACCACGGGUUGGAAGAAGUCUAGAUCCCUGAGUCAAUGUUUGGAGAGGAGCUGCCGAGGAGAGCCACCAGAGAGGGACACAUGAGCAAGAAAUAAACAUUUCUUCUGUUAAAACAUUGAGAUUUUAUAGCCCAUCAUGACUAAUCCAAUGAGACCCUAGUGUAGAUCUUUUGCUUAGUCUUCGCUUCUGAGAUCUAGAACUAUAUAUUUCAUUUGCUAAUCACCAUUUCUACAUGAACCCUCAAAUAGGGUAAUAGGUAAACUCAGAGUUUCUAAGAUUAGACUGUGUUGAAAUCUUAGUCCUUCCAGGUACAGCUAUAUGACUCAAUGUGUGUGUGGGGGCGGGGGCAGGGGGGUUAAAUAAACUAUUCAUAACUGUAUCUACUUAAAAGUAAUAAGAAAAUGAAAUGAGCAUAUACAUAUAUAUAAAACAGUUAUCGGCACAUAGUAAAUGCUCAGUAAUUGUCAGGUAAUACAGUUAUUAUGACCAUCCCACUCCAAAUUUGCUCUUUCCCCAGGUUUUUUAUGUUGAUAAAUGGUACCACCAUCCAAUAGUUGUUAAAAUUAGAAAUUUGCAACUUUAUCUUGGAUCACUUUUUUUAUCCUCCCACAUGGAUAAAGUCAAUCAAUAACUGAUUGAUUACACUCCUUCAGUAUUUUUCAAAUCCAUUUGCUUAACUCUCUCCUCUUCUAUUCUACACUUUUCAUCCUAGUUAAAGCCACCAGCCUAUGUAACUUUAUUAUAUUUGCGUCCUUACUAGUCUUUUCAAAUCCAUCCUUGCACCCUCCCAAUUCAUGCUUUAUGUGGAAAUGUAGGCAUUUUUUAAAAAAUUCAAAUCAAAUCUUGCUGCUCAAAAUUUUAAAUGCAUCAACACCGAUUGCUCUUUGGUGCCACCACAUUCCUGACCCAUUACUUCAGCACCCCCUCAAACCCACCACAGGACUUUAUUUCUACAAUUCAGCCACACUGGACUUUUGUCGGUGUCAGAAAAGUGCCAUAGAUUGUCCCAUCUUUGAUGUUAUCAUGUGUUGGUUACUUUUGCUUAGAAUAAACUUUCUCCCCAUCCCAGUUUACCUAAUUAAUUCCUGACCACUCUUUACAUUUCUGCUUAAAUGCUAUACUCUCCAGAAAGCCCUCUUAGCAAUCUCUGCCCACACUUCUUAAAGCUAUGCCUACAUAGCCCCCACCUUAUUUCUUCAUUAAACUCUUUGCACUUGCCAUUAUUUGUAUAAUUAUGUUUUCCCAGCUAACCAGGAGACUUUGUGAGGGCAGAGACCUCAUAUGUAUGGCUCACUGCCUGGUAUAGACAGUAUAUUGGCUUAUACGAAGGAGGAGUUUAUUAAAUACAGUAAAUUUUUUUAAGUGUGAAUAUGAGUCUGUUAAAUGACUGUGUGUAUAUGUACCCAAUGUAAAGUUUUAUUUGGUUCGGUCUAGAAAAAUGUCCUACAGCCAAUUCAUGUACCUAAUUAAAUUCACUUACAAAUUUAGGAAACUCAGCACCUGCCCUAUUUGAGUUUAAAACUAGUUGAUUUGAUAGACAUAUAAAAUAAAAACUAUACUAUAGUAUCAUCCAUGCUGUCAUAAUAGAAUUAUCUCAAAACCUCCAUUGAUGUACUAUUUGGG